rnacentral:rRNA from 1 species
AGUGAACGCUGGCGGUAGGCCUAACACAUGCAAGUCGAACGGCAGCACAGUAAGAGCUUGCUCUUACGGGUGGCGAGUGGCGGACGGGUGAGGAAUACAUAGGAAUCUACUUUUUCGUGGGGGAUAACGUAGGGAAACUUACGCUAAUACCGCAUACAACCUACGGGUGAAAGCAGGGGAGCUUCGGACCUUGCGCGAUUGAAUGAGCCGAUGUCGGAUUAGCUAGUUGGCGGGGUAAAGGCCCACCAAGGCAACGAUCCGUAGCCGGUCUGAGAGGAUGAUCAGCCACACUGGAACUGAGACACGGUCCAGACUCCUACGGGAGGCAGCAGUGGGGAAUAUUGGACAAUGGGCGCAAGCCUGAUCCAGCCAUACCGCGUGGGUGAAGAAGGCCUUCGGGUUGUAAAGCCCUUUUGUUGGGAAAGAAAAGCAGCAGGUUAAUACCCCGCUGUUCUGACGGUACCCAAAGAAUAAGCACCGGCUAACUUCGUG